rnacentral:rRNA from 1 species
ACGCUCGACAGUGCCAGCAGCCGACGGGUAAUACAGAGGUGCAAGCGUUAAUCGGAAAGUUACUGGGCGUAAAGCGCGCGUAGGUGGUUUGUUAAAGUUGGAUAGUGAAAUCCCCGGGCUCAACCUGGGAACUGCAUCCAAAACUGGCAAGCUAGAGUAUGGUAGAGGGUGGUGGAAUUUCCUGUGUAGCGGUGAAAUGCGUAAGAUAAUAGGAAGGAACACCAGUGGCAAGGCGACCACCUGGACUGAUACUGACACGUGAGGU